rnacentral:rRNA from 1 species
UCUCACAACCACCACCCUGAACUUGACCAAUCUUGUCGGAUCUCCGAAGAUUAGCACGGUUGGGCCUGUUUAGUACUUGCAUAGGAAACUGCUUGGGAAUACUGGGUGCUGUAUGCU